rnacentral:lncRNA from 1 species
AUGUUCUGCAACACGUUACACGUUCGGCAACACGUUACACAUUCUGCAACUUCUGCAACACGUUACAUGUUCUGCAACACGUUACAACUUCUGCAACACGUUACACGUUCGGCAACACGUUACACAUUCUGCAACUUCUGCAACAUGUUACAACUUCUGCAACUUCUGCAACACGUUACACGUUCGGCAACACGUUACACAUUCUGCAACUUCUGCAACAUGUUACAUGUUCUGCAACAUGUUACACGUUCUGCAACAUGUUACACGUUCUGCAACAUGUUAACACGUUCUGCAACUUCUGCAACAUGUUACAUGUUCUGCAACAUGUUCUGCAACAUGUUACACGUUCUGCAACUUCUGCAACAUGUUACAACUUCUGCAACAUGUUACACGUUCUGCAACAUGUUACAUGUUCUGCAACAUGUUACACGUUCUGCAACUUCUGCAACAUGUUACAACUUCUGCAACAUGUUACAUGUUCUGCAACACGUUACAUGUUCUGCAACACGUUACAUGUUCUGCAACACGUUACAUGUUCUGCAACACGUUACACGUUCUGCAACACGUUACACGUUCUGCAACACGUUACACGUUCUGCAACACGUUACAUGUUCUGCAACAUGUUACAACUUCUGCUACAUGUUCUGCAACACGUUACACGUUCUGCAACUUCUGCAACAUGUUACAACUUCUGCAACAUGUUACACGUUCUGCAACAUGUUACAUGUUCUGCAACAUGUUACACGUUCUGCAACAUGUUACAUGUUCUGCAACAUGUUACACGUUCUGCAACAUGUUACACGUUUGCAACUUCUGCAACAUGUUACAACUUCUGCAACAUGUUACAUGUUCUGCAACACGUUACACGUUCUGCAACAUGUUCUGCAACAUGUUACAUGUUCUGCAACAUGUUCUGCAACAGCAACAAUGGCACAUGAGGCUGCUGCAGGAAGGGGAAUCCAACAACUCUACAUCUGUUUCCUCCUCGAGUGUCUUUCUAAAGUAUUAAAGAGAUAA